UUCCGGUUGAUCCUGCCGGACCCUACUGCUAUCGGGGCGGGACUAAGACAUGCAAGUCGUGCGUCUCUAAGCCAUGGUAGAGACGCGGCGUACGGCUCAGUAACACGUGGCUAACCUACCCUUAGGACGGAGACAACCCCGGGAAACUGGGGCUAAUACCCGAUAGGUGAGGAGGCCUGGAAUGGUUCUUCGCUGAAAAGGCGUUGAAACCAUGCUUUUCAACGUCGCCUAAGGAUGGGGCCGCGCCCGAUCAGGUUGUUGGUGGGGUAACGGCUCACCAAGCCUAUAACCGGUACGGGCCGUGAGAGCGGGAGCCCGGAGAUGGGCACUGAGACAAGGUCCCAGGCCCUACGGGGCGCAGCAGUCGCGAAAACUCCGCAAUGCGCGAAAGCGUGACGGGGCUACCCCGAGUGCCGUCCGCUGAGGAUGGCUUUUCCCCGGUGUAAUGAGCCGGGGGAAUAAGGAGAGGGCAAGUCUGGUGUCAGCCGCCGCGGUAAUACCAGCUCUCCGAGUAGUAGGGACGAUUAUUGGGCUUAAAGCGUCCGUAGCCGGCUUAGCAAGUCUCCUGUUAAAUUCAGCGACCUAAUCGUUGAGCCGCGGGAGAUACUACUAGGCUAGGAGGCGGGAGAGGCCGACGGUAUUCCCGGGGUAGGGGUGAAAUCCUAUAAUCCCGGGAGGACCACCAGUGGCGAAGGCUGUCGGCUAGAACGCGCUCGACGGUGAGGGACGAAAGCUGGGGGAGCGAACCGGAUUAGAUACCCGGGUAGUCCCAGCUGUAAACGAUGCGGGCUAGGUGUUGAGGUGCUACGAGCCACUUCAGUGCCGCAGGGAAGCCAUUAAGCCCGCCGCCUGGGGGAGUACGGCCGCAGGCUGAAACUUAAAGGGAAUUGGCGGGGGAGCGCCACAGGCGUGAGCUUGCGGUUCAUUGGAGUCAACGCCG
rnacentral:rRNA from 1 species